AAUGCAGAGAAGAGAAGGUGUCAUCACCUUAAAUGGGUUCUGCGUUCUUCAGGGUCAGAACCCUGAAGAACUGACCUCCUUUUUGAACUGACCCCAACCUUGCUGAGUUUACCAACUUUCCUGGCCAUGAGGGUCAGAAAUCCACAAUGAUUUCAUAAGUAAUUUCUCAUGAAACCACAUACCACAGCAUGAGUCACAAAUGUAGCUGUGUACCUGUAGGAGUAUAUGUCAUUCUUGUUAAAUCUGCCAGGAAUAGGAUGAUCAACUUGUCCCAGUUUGCCUGGGAUUUUCCCUAUUUGUACCAAAAGUCUUAUGUCCUGGGAAAUCCUUCAGUUCCAGGUAUAUCUGAGUGAUUGACCACCCUACCCAGGAAAUAAGGAAGGAGCAAGGGGUCCUUAAAGUGUUAUCCCUACCAGAAUCUGCCUCUUUCUCUCUCUGCAAAAGUAGAGAAGCUGCAACCUGUGGGACCUGGUGCUUCCAUCCAGCUGCAUGGGGAAGACAUUUAUGUCAACUUGAGCAGAAGGAGCCAAGUGAGUGGUGCCUUGCGGGAGAGGGAAAAUGAAGAAGUGCGCAAGGUCCACACUGGUGAUGAUUCCACACUCAGAGCUCUGAGCUGUCAGAACCCAAAGAAUCAUCUAGAAACCAAGAGACAAUGGGAAAUAAGGCAACAGCAAGGUGGAAGAGGUGAACAUGAACCUGGUGAAAACCUGCAGGAAGAUCAGGGUAAGGGUAUUGCCCUUCCCAAAGGUGGGGGUGGUGCCCAGGCCAUCCUCUCAGGACAUCACAUAAACAUGGACACUAGAGGCUCCUAGACACUCACAGCGCAUAUCUAUCCAGACUACUUGGACUACAUAGUUGAGAAAGUAAAUGGACUUUGAUGUGAGGAAUGCAAGUCCUUUUAAAUUAUCAGGCCCAGGGAGACAUUAAAAUGAGACAGCAAUCACGUCCUACUCCCUUUUUAAAACUGCUUUCUAUUGCCACGAGUAGCUGUAAAGUAACCUAAUAAUGCCACAUUGAACACUAUAACCACACCCUAUAGCCUAAUGAUGUAUAACUAAUCACCGAUCAAUGUUAUUUCUGUAAGCCAGUUCCUGACAACUUUGUAUCAGCCCUACUCCCUGUCCCCCCAACUUUUUUUUUUUGUCUUUAAAAACCUGGUUAUGUGAUGGCACAGUGGCUCACACUUGUAAUCACAGCACUUUGGGAGGCCAAGGCUGGAGGAUUGCUGGAGCCUAGGAGUUCGAGACCAGCCUGAGUAACAUGGCAAAAACUUGUUUACAAAAAAUACAAAAAUUAUCCAGGCCUGGUGGUGUGUGCCUGUAGUCCUGGCUACUCUGGAGGCAGAGGUGGGAGAAUCACCUGAGCCUGGGGAGGUCAAGGCUCCAGUGAGUCAUGAUCCACUACACUCUAGCCUGGAUGACAGUGAGACCCUAUCUCAAAAAACAAAGAAACAAAUAAACAAACAAACCUGCUUGGAACAAAGAUGAAUGGAAUUCAUACCCAAGGCUACUUGGGUCUGAGUCUUCCCAGCAGCUGUCAACCCUUUGGCUAAAGUAAACUCCUCCAGUUACAUUUUAUGCCUCAGCCUCUUCCUUUUAGCUUGACAGUCAUUGAGCUUUAGCAAGUUCCUCUUUUUUGCUAGCCCAUGCUGGACACAUUUUAAAUGAGAGUCAUAACUAACAUUUUUGCAUUAUUCAAAAUAGCUUCAAGAAACCAGAAACCUGUCACACAUACUUGUUUUCUUCUUUAGAACAAUGCAUGUGUUUAGGGAAAAUGAAAACAGUCUAUAGCUGAACUCAUGUUAGUGCUUUCCAGAAUCAAAUGGUCACAGACACUCAAAGCUCUUCUCCAGGAAUAAGGGGUUAACCUUGCCUUCCAGUGCUUCACUGUCUGCUCUCAAUGUUUGCUACUCCACCCCAUUGU
rnacentral:lncRNA from 1 species